ensembl:lncRNA
GAACGUUCCAAUGCACUGGAAGCAUUUUGCGAUUGAGAUAGCCCUUAAAAUGGCGACUCCCUUGAUCAGUGCCCUGACUGCUGAACUAGGGAGCCGAUUGAGACGCACCCUUUAUCAACAUUAAAUCUAACCAGAUACGGAGAAGGUUUAUCCAAAAGUAUGUGUUCUCAUAGUAACUCGGCUGGUUUUAAGAUUUGCAUCGUUUGUGGAACAGAAAUUGACGGAAAUUAGCCGAGCUUGCUGAAAUUAGCCUUGUUUAUCAAAAUAGCUCACUUCGUGGAAUACUCAGGUCACAAUGUAAAUAUAAUGCGUCUGAAUAGGGUUUAAGCCAAACUGAAAUGAAACUGCGAAAUCCUUUUUUUCCUCUUUUCUUUUGCGUUGCCGGUAUAUUCCGCCCUUACACCCUUCUCCCUGCCUCUUAAACCUUCCCAGUCUUUUGUGUGAGGGGCGGGGCAGAGUACCAUGUCAGUUACACACCACACAUAUGCAUACAGCGUGCUCAAAACUGCAUUCGACAGUUAUCCUGCUCACUCCUGUCAAAUUUGUUGCAGUCUGCCGUCUAUAUCCAACCAGCAAAAAAAGGAAUUUGAUCUCCCUCGACUGCUUUGAAGAGUGCACUGGAAAGCAAGCCUGCACAAGAUGCACCACACGGAGAAUGCACGUUUAUUUUGAUGCUGAAGAGAGCUUCCAAGAUCAUCUGAGCCAAUUUUGCUACGAAUUGAACAAAAUUCAUCAUUUUCCUACUUAAGAUUCAUAGGGCUGCCAUAGACUUUCACUGAGGAAGAAGAAGAAGAAUAGGAAAACUAACGGAUACAAUAGGUGCCUACACAUCUUUGGUGCUUGGCCCCUAAUAAUAGGAAAACUAACAGAUACAAUAUGGGCUGACCCCUAAUAAACGGAGCAGAUCCAAUAGGGCCUCUCACCAUCGGUGCUCAGGCCCUAAUAAUAAUAAGUAGAGAUGCACUGAUGUAUAGUUUGAAAACAUCCGAUGAUCAGGGCCGAUUAUAUCCUGUCAAUCAAAAGAGGGUGGGAAAACGCAUCAAUUUCAUGCUGUGUGUAAAGAUGAUGUCUCUUGUGUGGAAUGACGACAAAACUGCAGUUUGUAAGCUCUGCACCUCAAAAAUUUUACACCGGAAGUGAGCAGCACUGAAGCGGCGUCGAGUCUAAUUCCCCCUAAUAACCCCCCCACCCCAGCGCUACUCCUGCGCUUCUCCUGCUUUUCAAGCAUGAAUUGCCUGUUUAAGGUUCUGCCACAGCAUCUAAGUCGGUUCAAGUCAGAACUUUGACUAGGCCACUCCAAAACUUUAAUUUAGCUUUUUUUUGAGCUGUUCAGAGGUGGACUUACUCCUGUGCUUUGGAUCAUUGUCUUGAAUUAUUGUCUAUACUUGUGUAGACCUGUGCUGUUAAUUUAUGCAGUUGACGUUCAACUUUAAAACGUCUACAAAUACAGUCUGGUCAUAAGUAUUUGGACAGCCACACAAUUUUUAAAAAUCAUUUUUAGAAGACCACGGAAGACAACUAAAGUGGGUGAUUGCAGAAUUCUUUCCUUGGUGAAGACAAACCCCUUCACAAUACAUCGCCAAGUCAAGAACACUCUUGAGGAGGUAGGUGCAUCAUUGACAGUCUACAACCAAUAAACACCUUCAUGAAUGUAAAUAUGGAGGUUUUACUUCAAAAUGCAACCCACAGGUAACACUCUAGAACAGAAAGACUAGAUUAGACUGCUAGAAAACAUCUUAAAAAAAAAAAAAAGCCUGCUCACUUCUAGAACAACUUUGGACAGAUGAAACCAAGAUUAACUCGUACCAGGAUAAUGGGAAUGCUAUAUAUAUAUAUAUUUUUUUUGUGGUAAACCACCUGAAUUAAAACUGAAUGGAAUGUCUACACUUAAGUCACAUCUUGAUUGCUUAAUUUCAGGACCAUUAUGGUGGUGUACAGAGGCAAAAUUACAAAACCUUUUUCACAGUCCAAAUACUUAUGGACCCAAAUGUAAAUAUUCCUGUUAACUGAUUAAAAAUCGAAUAGUCUUUUUAGUUAUUAAUUGACUUUUUAGUAAACAAUGAAAAUUGAAAUGUCAAUAGCAGUAAAACGCUUAAAGACUGAGGGGUCUUAUUUUGGUUUGUUUGUUCAUUUAACCUAGAGCAAAAAAUACCACCGAUUUGUGAAAAUCAGCUGAACAUAAAGCAGUUAAAUAAAAACAAUUUACAGCUACUUUUUUAGGGUAGACCAGCAACUGUCCAUAAUAUUGAUUGAAUUGAUUGAAUUUGACCCUUUCUUGUAUGGUAGAUAUUUUGAUGUAUUACAGUGGGCAGUUCGGCAUCUACUGUUUACCUCUACUUGUUGUGGCUUAACAUUGAAUCUGGCCCUUUCCAGUAUGGUAGAAGUUUUGAUGUAUUGUAGUGGGCAGUGUAGCAUCCACAGUGUUACUUUACUUGGGCCAAAAGCUAUAUAGCUAGAACUUACUGUAUGAUGUUGGACUGGUGCCAAAAGAAUAAUCAGUGUUAGUUUUCUUAUGCCAAAGGUUCACAUUCUUUGUGUGGUGGAAAAAGGCUCUAGGCUCCCUGUAUUUUUAAUUGUAUAGAUAGUGGAUAUAGUCUUUUCUAACUUUGUCACUUCCUUUGACAGUGAGCUACUUUUUCUGGUUGCUCUUUGAUGCAUCUGUUAUUUCUAUUUAAGCGGCUAAAUAUAAACUGUCAGAGGGGAUUUAUUUUUUAUGAAUAAAUAAGCAUGUUUACAUAAGACAACACAGGAAUAUUUAACACACAUGGGUAAAAAACCUUGUCUUUGUUCAUUCUGUCACUGAAAGUUCUAGGUGUGACUGAGUUAUUGAAUUUGUCAAGUAUGGUGAUCAUCACAAAUGACUGCAAAUAAAUAUCAUCUUUUACCUAUUAUUAUUAUUAUUAUUAUUAUUAUUAUUACUACUACUACUACUACUCAUUUUCAUUAUAUUAUUUGAUUUUGAACAUUUGCUUAUAAUGUAGUAAAUAUUAUUGACCAAACGGGAGAUGUGUAUGGUCUGUGUAUUUUUUGCUUGCAUGUCCUCCAAGCAAGAUGAUGGUUUAAAGACCACAGUGUAUUCGUUACUUGUGUAGUGUUGGCAGUUUGUAAAAGCAAUUUUCCCUUUAGCAUUUGACUUGAUAUUAAAUCUCUAACUUCAAGUGAGCAGAAUUGGAUUAGUUUUAUUCAUGCACUUAAAUGGGUAGCCUUAGAGACAACUGUAAUGGAAAUUAUUUUAACAUUUCUUCACUGAUGUACUAGGGAUUGGAUUAUACUAACUACAGAAGCCCUAUCCAGUAAUGUACUUAAAAAUAAAUAAAUAAAUAAAUUAAAAAAUAAAUAAAUUACCAUUAAUUUUAUUUGCCUUGUGGCCAACCCUAUUGGAUAUACUCUAUGAUAUGAGUGUCAAUAAUGAGGACAUUUUGCAUGUUUGCAGUUACACCCCAAUAGAUAUAAAUUAAAGUAAUAUUUAUGAACAGUUAGUACCCAUGUGAAGUGGGCAGCAGUAUAGGUAGCAACAUUUUGAAAUAAUUAAUGGAAUCAGUUACUGAAAUCAAUUUCAGUAAAUAGAUGCUCAGUUUCUACUUGAAGCCACACACACACACACAUUUUCUCUUAAUUUCCUUGUAAGAACCUUCCACUGAUUAUAAUUAUUAUUGAGGCC